rnacentral:rRNA from 1 species
CUACGGAAAAGCUGUAGCUAAUACUUGCUUUAUUAUCCUUUGAUUUUUAUCUUUGGAUAAGUAUUUGUUAGGCCUUAUAAGAAAAAAGUUAUUAACUUAAGGAAUUAUAACAAAGAAGUAACACGUAAUAAAUUUAUUUUAUUUAGUGUGUAUCAAUCGAGUUUCUGACCUAUCAGCUUUUGAUGUUAGGGUAUUGGCCUAACAUGGCUAUGACGGGUAACGGGGAAUUAGAGUUCGAUUCCGGAGAGGGAGCCUGAGAAAUAGCUACCACAUCUAAGGAAGGCAGCAGGCGCGUAAAUUACCCAAUUCUAAAGAAGAGAGGUAGUGACAAGAAAUAACAAUGCAAGGCCAAUUUUUGGUUUUGUAAUUGGAAUGGUGGGAAUUUAAAACCUUCCCAGAGUAACAAUUGGAGGGCAAGUCUGGUGCCAGCAGCCGCGGUAAUUCCAGCUCCAAUAGCGUAUAUUAAAAUUGUUGCAGUUAAAACGCUCGUAGUUGAAUUUCAAAGAAUCGAUAUUUUAUUGUAACUAUUCUGGGGGGAACUGCGGCGGCGGAG